CAUGGCAACCCUGCAUCCCUCAGACCAUCCGGUGCAUGGACAUCCUGUGCGGAGUGUAAUCCUAGUGCAAGCGUCCAGUUGUGGAGAGUACAGUACAUCGAGCCUAUGGACAGACAGGUAUGAGGCGUGACAUGCAAGGUACUGACAGGAAGAGCAAUAUGAGUCUGUCAGAGGCCGUCACGCUGGAUGGGGAUGGUGAUGGAGGCUUUGGUGGUCCACACAAUGAAGAUGCAGAUGUCCCUUCCAGUGAUGUGGAGCUGACCUUGGACCUGGU